AUUUAAAUCAAAUUUAUUCAAGUACUUGAAAUAAUUUGAUUGUAAUUACGACCGGUUUACAGCAAGCGAUUUAAAUUUAAUUCAGAAUUAUUUUAAUUCGUUUCGUUUCACGUUUUACGAUUCAGUUGACUGCGUAAUUAAAGGCCGGCUUACAGCAAACGAUUUAAAUUUUAAUUCCGAAUUAAAGAAUAAUUUGUUUUCGUUUUCAAUUCAAUUCGGGACGCGAAUCCGUGUAUUUUUAAAUUUAAACAAAUUCAAAUGAAAACAAUCUUUAAUUUUGAAACGAGACAAAUUAACCUUGAACUUGAAUGCGCUUUCACGGCCGGUUUAAUUUAUUUAUUAAAUUUUAAUUUGAAUUUAAAUCAAAUUUAUUCAAGUAUUCGAAAUAAUUUACUUGCAAUCCGGGGCCGGUUUACAGCAAGCGGUUUAAAUUUUAAUUCCGAAUUAAAGAAUAAUUUGUUUUCGUUUUCAAUUCAAUUCGAGGCGCGAAUCCGUGUAUUUUUAAAUUUAAACAAAUUCAAAUGAAACCGAACUUUAAUUUUGAAACGAGACAAAUUAACCUCGAACUUGAAUGCGCUUUCACGGCCGGUUUAAUUUAUUUAUUAAAUUUAAUUUUGAAUUUAAAUCAAAUUUAUUCAAAUACUCGAAAUAAUUUAAUUGCAAUCCGGGGCCGGUUUACAGCAAGCGGUUUAAAGUUUAAUUCCGAAUUAAAGAAUAAUUUGUUUUCGUUUUCAAUUCAAUUCGAGGCGCGAAUCCGUGUAUUUUUAAAUUAAAACAAAUUCAAAUGAAAAUUAACCUUGAACUUGAAUGCACUUUCACGGCCGGUUUAAUUUAUUUGUUAAAUUUAAUUUUGAAUUUAAAUCAAAUUUAUUCAAGUACUUGAAAUAAUUUGAUUGUAAUUACGGACCGGUUUACAGCAAGCGAUUUAAAUUUAAUUCAGAAUUAUUUUAUUUCGUUUCGUUUCACGUUUUACGGUUCAAUUAACUGCGUAAUUAAAGGCCGGCUUACAGCAAACGAUUUAAAUUUUAAUUCCGAAUUAAAGAAUAAUUUGUUUUCGUUUUCAAUUCAAUUCGGGACGCGAAUCCGUGUAUUUUUAAAUUUAAACAAAUUCAAAUGAAAACAAUCUUUAAUUUUGAAACAAGACAAAUUAACCUUGAACUUGAAUGCACUUUCACGGCCGGUUUAAUUUAUUUAUUAAAUUUUAACUUUGAAUUUAAACCAAAUUUAUUCAAGUACUCGAAAUAAUUUAAUUGCAAUCAGGGGCCGGUUAAUUUAUUUUCGUUUUCAAUUCAGUUCGAAGCGCGAAUCCGUUUAAGUUUAAAUUUAAACAAAUUCAAAUGAAAAUUAACCUUGAACUUGAAUACACUGCUGGUUUAAUUUAUUUAUUAAAUUUUAAUUUUGAAUUUAAAUCAAAUUUAUUCAAGUACUUGAAAUAAUUUAAUUGCAAUCCGGGGCCGGUUUACAGCAAGCGAAUUAAAUUUAAUUCCGAAUUAAAGAGUAAUUUAUUGUCAUUUUCAAUUUAAUUCGAAGCGCGAAUCCGUGUAUUUUUAAAUUUAAACAAAUUCAAAUGAAAACGAACUUUAAUUUUGAAACGAGACAAAUUAACCUUGAACUUGAAUGCACUUUCACGGCCGGUUUAAUUUAUUUAUUAAAUUUAAUUUUGAAUUUAAAUCAAAUUUAUUCAAGUAUCCGAAAUAAUUUAAUUGCAAUCCGGGGCCGGUUUACAGCAAGCGAUUUAAAGUUUAAUUCCGAAUUAAAGAAUAAUUUGUUUUCGUUUUCAUUUCAAUUCAAAGUGCGAAUCAGUUUAAGUGUAAAUUUAAACAAACUCAAAUGAAAACGAAUUAUUUUACUUUAGAAUUAGAAUUUGUUCUUUCGGUCCACUUUCGUAAAAAAACAUUACGAUGUAAAUGACUAAUCUGUUAGCAUGACAACUUGUAUAAUACAUAAAAGCUAAUGUCAAGAGUACGCUUUUUGCACCUCAAUAUUUUUUAUGAAAGUGAACCGAAAGUAAUUAAUUCGUUUUAAUCUUUUUGGCUUGGCUGCUGCUGUUGUUUCUAUAGCAUCAUUGGCUUGACACUAAUUUAAUAAAUUUUCACCCUCAUUUUGAGACGUUCUGUAGCAAUAAAUUAUUUUAAAAAGACUCUGAUGCUAUUUAAACAUCAGUAUCAUCUUAAUAGAGGUGUGCUUAACGAUUAAAAUUUAUUUACUGCAAUUAUUUCGUCUUUUAUUUUUAAAUUUAACAUUCAUAUCGUCCUACAAUUUGGUACAAAUACGUAUUGAUAAGCACAUCUCUAAUAAAAAAGGGAAGUAUGUACGUAAUUCGGAAAUAGGUUUCAAGUUUACGUGUUCUGAUGUAACUUUUUUUCACCACUACCGAAAGUAGCCAACAAAAUUCAUAAUUUUUGCGCGUCUUUUCUUUUUCUUCUUCGUAAUAUUAUUGCUUCAAAUGGGAAUAGAUGUAACCGCUGAUGCUGACUGACUGCAGUCAAUUCAUUGAAGAAAAAGCUAUGAAUGCAAUUUUACUUGUGAGAUAUUUUCCUCACUCCAAGUAGUUUUUUGCUUGCGUCACCAUCGCCUACUGGGCCAACCGGGGAUUUUGAAUUAAUUCACAUUGUCGCAUCGAAAACAAAUGGUCUCGUAGCGUGGUGCUGAACCAUUGGGAAAAGGAAACUAUCUGAUGAUUAUAAUAAAAGACGUAAGUGAACGUCGCUCCAACUCAUGGCAUGUUGGGGGAAAAGUGGAGGAAAUAAUAAAAAAAAUUUGGAUUCGAUGGAAUUGACUGAUCUAAUUAUGAUUUCUUAAAAGUGGGUUAGUAUGAUUCUCUUGAAUAAGUGGGCACUGAUUAUUUUCCUAUGACUAAAUUUUAUCAAAAUUGAUCAAAAAAAAAAAAAAUUGCAAACCCCUAGAUUUGUUAAUGUAUCACUGGUGUACUAAGCUCGUAGUAAAAUCGAAUAAAGACUCGAUCUCAUUAAUUUGAGUGUGUUAGUCGUGCUGAUGCUCCUCGAUAGACACAUACCUAUAAACGGUAUUAGUUGUCGUGCAAAUACAUAUCUUAGAUAUGUAGAGGAGAUGCUGCGAGCAUAAAAUAGUACACUAAAUACAGGCAUUUUCUAGGAUGGCUUUGCAUUCAUUAAAAAAAUCACAAAUAUACACAAACUAUAAAAAAAAUAAAAAAAAAUAAAAAAUAAACAAAAUAAAAAAUAAAAAAAAUAAAAAAUAAAAAAAAAUAAAAAAUAAAAAAAAAUAAAAAAUAAAAAAAAUGGUCGCAAAAGGAAAUUAAUCAUUGCCUGUUUAUUUAAGAGAAUUGCUUAGGUAGCCCAAGAAUCAUAAUUAGAUCAGUCAAUUUCAUCGCGUCCGCCUCUGCUUUUCUCCCAUUUGCCAUGAGUUUGAGUGGCGUUCCCGUCUUUUAUUAUAAUCAUCACACUGUUUCCUUUUCCUGGUGGUGUCUGCACUGUGCCACGAGACCAUUGCUUUCGAUGUUUCAUUGUGAGUCAAUUUAAAAUCACCAACUGGCCCUUUUAGUCGAUUAUGGCACCAGCAAGAAUUAUUUGGACUGAGAAUAAAAUAUUUUAUGGAAAUUGUUAUCACAUGUGUUACUUCCACCUUCAAGGGUUGCCCAACACGAAUGCAAAGAUUGCAUUAAACAGUCGCCAAAUGUGCCAACCAUUGCAAUUUCCACUUGGAGUUAUGAAUUUUGAGAGCUCAAAAGCUGGUGUCUGUGUUGAAUUGCUUUACAAACUGGUUGCGGCCUGCGGGAUUCGGAGGAUUUCAAAGGCGUUCUUCGUCUGGUUCUUCAGAAAUUAUUUUUUAACUGACAAUAAUUAUCAUUAAACGUUGUUAUAUUUGUGUGAUUGAUUAUGUUUUUUUUAAUAAACGCUAAGGAAA